CCGGAGGAAGUGGGGAUGACGUCAAGUCAUCAUGGCCCUUACGGCCUGGGCUACACACGUGCUACAAUGGUCGGUACAAAGGGUUGCCAAGCCGCGAGGUGGAGCUAAUCCCAUAAACCGAUCGUAGUCCGGAUCGCAGUCUGCAACUCGACUGCGUGAAGUCGGAAUCGCUAGUAAUCGUGAAUCAGAAUGUCACGGUGAAUACGUUCCCGGGCCUU
rnacentral:rRNA from 1 species